AAUUAGUUUUUUAAUUGAAAAAUAGAAUGAAUGGUUUCACUAAAAAUAUUUUUUUAUGGUUUAUUUAAAAAUUUCAAGUUUAGUGAAAAUGCUAAAAAUUAUUUAUUAGACAAAAAGACCCUAUGAAACUAUUAAAAUUAAGAUUUAUACGAUAAUAAAGUAUUUUAAUUUUUUGGGGUAAAAUUUAAAAAUUUUAUUAUAAAAAAAAUUUAAUUUUAAUUGAGCCUUAAGGAAGCAUGAAAAAGUUCCUCUAGGGAUAACAGCAUAAUAUUUAAAAAAGUUCUUAUUAGAAUAAGUGU
rnacentral:rRNA from 1 species